UACGAGGGGGGCUAGCGUUGCUCGGAAUGACUGGGCGUAAAGGGCGCGUAGGCGGUUUGUAAAGUCAGGUGUGAAAUUCCCGGGCUCAACCUGGGGGCUGCACUUGAUACGUAUGGACUGGAGUGGGGAAGAGGGUCGUGGAAUUCCCAGUGUAGAGGUGAAAUUCGUAGAUAUUGGGAAGAACACCGGUGGCGAAGGCGGCGACCUGGUCCUUGACUGACGCUGAGGCACGAAAGCGUGGGGAGCAAACAGG
rnacentral:rRNA from 1 species